AAAGAAAGAAAUAAAGAAGCAAUUGAAGAAACUUAAAUAUACCUAAGAGGAUUUUAAUUUCUCACAUUCAGUGUUUCUUUUAUAUAUAGACCACUAGUACACAGUAAUAUUACAAGUAAUCUAUUUAAUUUUACUUUACAGCCCUAUUAAAAUUUGCUCACUUACUGCAGAAAGAUCUGAAAUCACAAGGAAUGGAUUUCCAAAAACAUAGGCAGUGUUGCUUAUUGACAUCAAUUAGGAUAAGUAUUUUAUGCCUCAAUACUGUUCCAAAUUAGCACCUAAAUGUUCUAUAAAUGUGACUAAGGAGCCACCGCUUGUGAAAUGCAGCAGCCAGAUGUCAUGCCAGAUGAAGGCAAUAACCUCUUCCAACAAAAGCUACCACCAGAUGCUUUAGAGAGCCAUUUCUCAACUGAGGGCCAUAAUAUCAGGGAGGUCACAAAAAUUAAGUGGAGGUGGUUCAUUAGUGUUAUUCCAAAUUCUGGCCUUUCUCUGGGCAGAAUAAAUACUGACAAGCUCUCAGUACAUGCACAAUACAAUUAUCUAAUGCUAUUAACUGGUUGUUACUGUUGUUCUCCUCUGAUUUUUACAGCACGAGUGAUGGAAUUACUUUUUAAACUUCAAGUAAGUUGUCUCUAGUACAAACAUUGCAGGUCAUACUGAAGAAAUAUUACUGCUUGGAAAUGCAAAAUCAGCUGUGAUUGCUGCAACAUGUCCCACAAUUCUCUGCUAGUGACUGAUGGGUUUUAUUCACUUGCUUUGCAGUAACACCUUGAAGGCCUCUGGGAGUGAUUGUGCCAUUUCAUCCAUGCUGCAAAUCUCUGGAGGUGAAACCAAACUACAUCACGUCAAUGCAUGGCCCUUAAUGACUCAAGUUUAAAAGCAGCAAAUCAAGUGAAGACAGCAACAAAGAAAAGGCAGCAUACAUAACAGUUAAUUUGACUGUACUAGGUCAAGAGGAUGUUGCUGGACUGAAAAGGAAGCAGGGCCUUCUUUCACUGAGAACUACUCUAACUCCACACUUGCCAAGCACAGAGCCAAAACCAGAAGGGACAUCUAGCUUGUGGUAUUGGCAUUUGUUUUCCAAAGACAGCCUUGGCACAGUCACACCUAUACAUGACUUGCAGGUCAUUGUAAUUUAAAUAUUGUGGGUCAUGCAUGGCUGAACAGCUGAAAAGCAUUCCAGAUGUGAUUCAGAAGUGCUACUGAGUAUCAAAUGAUGUUUCAAGCCCAGCUCUCUCAGUGUAAAUUAGAAACAAAAGGAGGAAAAGCACCUGUUACUGAGACACUUGUCCCUUGCAUUUAUUCCAGUUGGGUCUCAUGACCUCCUGAGUUCUGCAGCCUGGAGUUCUGCAAUGAUAACAGAUCUUUGUGCUUUCUGCUGGCUAGAAUUCCAGCUCCUUUGGGGAACAAGGAAAGUAAGUGUUUUUCUACUACUAGAAGAAGUAUUUCCAAACUGAUUAAGGUCUGACUGAACUCUGGAAAAUGUAGAAAAAGAAGUUGUAUCCAUAUGCAUUUGUAACACAGAUUCUAGAAGACAACAUAAGGAAGAAAAUUUAACUGCACAAGGGACAGCAUCUAGAAUAUCUCCAGUUUUAAUCCCUGGAAGUUACACAACCAGCAGAUGAAGGCUGUGCUACAACAAAACAAUUAAGCUGGAGAAUAAAUGUAUUGAGUCAUGCAGAUUGACAACACCUUGACCUUUUGCUUUCCCACAUAUUAGGCACUGGAUGAAGCAGUAAUGCCACCGAAGUCAAAAGCAAAAUUUAUGCAAUUUCCAUGAGAACAGGAUUUAAACCAAGAGUUCUUGAAAUGGGAGAGCAUGAGUAAAGACAGUCUAUUUCCUUCACAGAGAGAAAUCUGUCUUUCCUGACUCCAAAGUGUGACCACUCUGCCAGGAAUGGAAACUGUAUAACUCUGGAAGUCUUCCAGAUUGACAUUAAAAUUCAAGACAUCAAUAUUUCUUCUCUAAGUGAAUAUAAUAAUGAUAUACUCCGAAUAUGCUGAAAACAAAGUCAGUUAACAAAACCCGAAACUUAUUCCAGGAAUACUUAUUUUCAAGAUCUCCCAGAGGUGCUGUCUUCCCUCUGCAGCAAAGUCUGCCUUUGCUCCCAGGCUUUGGUAAGUGCUGGACACAAGCAAUGACUGUGGUUUCACUGCUUCCAUGGCAACAGAAAGGAUACUGCAGAAGCAGGGACCAGUGUUACAUCACUGAAUAAACCAACUUGAAAAAGCAGUAUGAAAUAUUAUGACAAAGAUUUAGAG